AGAGUUUGAUCCUAGCUCAGGAUGAACGCUGGCGGCGUGGAUAAGGCAUGCAAGUCGAACGAACUUCAUUUUUCCAGAGAUAAGAUUUAUAUCAAAUCAAAGGUUGCUUGAAGUUAGUGGCGAACGAGGUAGUAAAACAUAGGAACUUCCCCCUAAGUCGUGAAUAAUUCAUUGAAAGAUGAACUAAUACACGAUAGUCUCUCAGGAGUAAAGUCAAAUUUAUUUUUGUGCGCUUAGGGAAAGGCCUGUGAAGUAUCAGCUUGUUGGUAGUAUAAAAGACUACCAAGGCUAUGACGCUUAGGGGAGCUGAGAGGCUGACCCCCACCGAUGGGACUGAGACACGGCCCAUACACCUACGGGUGGCUGCAGUCGAGAAUCUUCCGCAAUGGACGAAAGUCUGACGGAGCGACGCCGCGUGAUUGAUGAAGCUUUUCGGAGUGUAAAGAUCUUUUAUGAGGGAAGAAGUUUAUUGACGGUACCUCAUGAAUAAGGGGCUCCUAAUCUCGUGCCAGCAGGAGCGGUAAUACGAGAGCCCCGAGCGUUAUCCGGAAUUAUUGGGCGUAAAGGGUGCAUAGGUGGUUUUAUUAGUCGUUUGUUAAAUCUCUAGGCUCAACCUAGAAACUGCGAGCGAAACGGUAAGACUAGAGAAUGUGAGAGGUAUAGGGAACUCAUGGCGUAGGGGUGAAAUCCGUUGAUAUCAUGGGGAACACCAAAAGCGAAGGCACUAUACUGGCACAUAUCUGACACUCAAGCACGAAAGCGUGGGUAGCGAAUGGGAUUAGAUACCCCAGUAGUCCACGCCCUAAACGAUGAUCUCUAGUCUUUCGGAGUAUCGACCCUCUGAGAGACGUAGCUAACGCGUUAAGAGAUCCGCCUGGGAACUACGGCCGCAAGGCUAAAACUCAAAGGAAUAGACGGGGACUUGCACAAGCAGUGGAUUAUGUGGUUUAAUUCGAUGAUAAACGAAGAACCUUACCAAGGUUAGACAUCUACUUGAAAGCUCUAAGAAACUAGAGCCCUCGCAAGACAAGUUGACAGGUGUUGCAUGGCCGUCGUCAGUUCGUGAUUUGAAUUGUUCCCUUAAGUGGGGUAACGAACGCAACCCUCAUCGUGUGUUAUACGUGUCACACGAGACUGCCUCGACCAGAGAGUGUAAUUAUUUAUAAUUAUUUUUUCUGGUCGGGGAGGAAGGAGAGGAUGACGCCAGGUCAGCAUGACCCUUGAUACCUUGGGCUACACACAUAAUACAAUCGCCAUCACAACGGGCAGCGACGGGGUAACCCUGAGCGAAUCCUUAUAAAAGUGGCGUCAGUUCGGAUUGGGGGCUGCAACUCGACCCCAUGAAGUUGGAAUUGCUAGUAAUCGCGGGUCAGAUAUACCGCGGUGAAUACGUUCUCAAGUCUUGUACUCACCGCCCGUCAAUUCAAGGGAGCCGGGAGUGCUCGAAAUCUCUCCAUACGGAGGGCCUACAGUAAGCUCGGUGACAGGGAAUAAGUCGUAACAAGGCACGGGUAGCGGAAGCUGUUCGUG
rnacentral:rRNA from 1 species